UUAUCAUUUGUUUAUUGCUGUUCAGUCUACUUUUUGUCCGUUAUAAAUUUAGACUGAGACUAGAUACGUUCUUCGGCAGUUUUGAUAAUAAUGAAUUGGAUAGGUUUGUAUGGACUUCUUCUUCUACCACAACUCUUUAACAAUGGAGCAUCCCAAGCGAUAAUCAAGACUCUCCCCGGUUAUCCGGGUAGUCUUCCAUUCAAACUCGAAACCGGAUACGUUGGUGUUGGAGACAAUGAUGAAGUACAACUAUUCUACUAUUUCGUUGAGUCCGAAAACAAUCCUAAAACGGAUCCUCUUUUGUUUUGGAUGAUUGGUGGACCUGGUUGCUCUGGUCUAUUUGCCCUCAUUUAUGAUAUUGGUAAUCUCUCCCCAUAAAUAUAUAUGAAUUUUUUGAAAAUCUCGAAAGAUAUGAAGGUGGAAUAUUUAUGGAAAAUAAAAU